AGGGUGCCAUGUGGCAUUAUUUACAAUUGCAUCCUUUCUUUUACUCCAUAUAAACCCUACAUCCAACCUAAACUCACACACCAAGUUCAAAAUCACUCUCAAUCCUUCUUGAUAGUGUAUAAAUUUUGAGUUUUUACAAUGUCAGCCUCGCGUUGUACUGCCUCAAGCGGACGUGCCUCUUCAGAUCAAUGAUGAUCACCUAACACAUAGAGUGUAUUGUAUGCUCUAGUUCUUGAACGUUCGCAUCCCACAAGUCAAGAAAUGCGUUAUCCAUUGAGGCCUCUUUUGGUGACAAAGAGUCGAUGAGACUUCGUGAUUGAACGUGCUAAAGCCCUAAUGUUCGAAAGUGUUUAGUUUCGGAAUAUUUUGGAGCUUUGAAUCAUCUAGUAUUCAAGAUAAUGACUACUUUUUGUUUUUAGAAGCUUUACUUUGUAAUCAUAUGGAUUAUAAUUAAAGACUUGCUUGGGUGUAGUGGAAAAAUAUCAUUUGUAAACUAUUAUUUCAAUUAUUGGAAUUGUAUUAUGACUUAAAUGAUUAAAAUAGGAAAAUGCAUGCUAAAAUAUACUUAUAACGGUGUUUAAUUGUCAAAAAACGAAAAUUAUGACAAAUUUUUCUUUUGUAAUUUUCAAGUUGUU